GGUCCUAAAUCCAAAUUUUGGGGUCAUUUUCAGGGGUCCCAAUCCCAAAUUUUGGGGUCAUUUUGGGGGGUCUCAGUCCCAAAUUUGGGGUAAUUUUGGGGGGUCUCAGUCCCAAAUUUGGGGUCACUUUGGGGGGUCCUGGGGGUCUUUGGGGGGCUCUGGGACCACCCCAAAAUUUUGGGGUUUUUUCGGGGGGUCUGGGACCAUCUCGGGGGUCCCUCCAUGGAUUUGGGGGUCCCUGGGGGUCUCCUGAGGGGUCUGGGGGUCCAAAUUCUGGGCUGGGGUCUCCUCUGGGGCUGAAGACCCCAGACCCACAAUUGGGGUCUCCUUGGGGGGCUCCAUUGGGGUCUCUUCACACCCUGAAGACCCCAGACCCACAAUUGGGGUCUCCUUGGGGAUCUCCACCAGGUUCUCCCCAUGGGGUGAAGACCCCAGACCCACAAUUGGGGUCUCCUCGGGGGUCUCCCCAUGCACCGAUCCCACCACCACAACCUCCCCAGAAGCCCCCAGACCCACGACCACCUUCUCCCUUGUGACCUGGGGGACCGGAGACCCCAGACCCACAACCACAACCUCCUCCUUUGGAACAUGUGGGACCCCAGCCAGGUUCUCCCCACAUCCUGAAGACCCCAGACCCACAACCAUGUUCUCCUUGGUGACCUGUGGGACCCCAACCACGUUCUCCCCAUAGUUUGAGGACCCCAGACCCACAACCACCACCUCCUCCUUUGGAACCUGUGGGACCCCUACCAUGUUCUCCCCAUGGCCUGAAGACCCCAGACCCACAACCACAACCUCCUCCUUUGGAACAUGUGGGACCCCAACCACAUUCUCCCCAUGGUUUGAAGACCCCAACCCAACCCCUACCACAUUCUCCCCAUGGCCUGAAGACCCCAGACCCACAACCACCACCUCCUCCUUUGGAACCUGUGGGACCCCAGCCAGGUUCUCCCCAUGGUUUGAAGCCCCCAUCCCCAUCUCAACCAGGUUCUCCCCAUGGCCUGAAGACCCCAUCCCCACCACAACCUCCUCCUUUGGAACAUGUGGGACCCCAACCAUGUUCUCCCCAUGGACCGGAGACCCCAGACCCACCAUGACCUUCACAACGUCCUGUGAAGGUUGUGGGACCCC
rnacentral:lncRNA from 1 species